GGACUCUGAUAUCUUCUAAUAAUAAUUGAGCCUUCAAUUAUUAUUGUAUUCAUUCAAUUCAAUUAUUAUAUGGUUCUCAGUUCCCCAAGGCCAAGAAGAUUUCCAGGUUGGCGUCGUUAAUCAGGAAUAGGGACUACCACAUGCAGUGCAAUGAACAGCCAUGUCGAGAAAAGAACAAAUUGUGUCCAAAUAGGCCCUCAGAGCUUUCAGAAUCUGAAGGAGGUGACUGCAGGUCCCCAGGAGGGGUGAGGAAGAUAGAUGGAUGAAAAAGUUCUGGAGAUUGAAUGCACAACAAUGUGAAUGUACUUUACUGAACUGUACACUUAAAAAUGGUUACAUUGAUAAAUUUUAUGGUAAGUGUAUUUUCACCUCAUUUAAACAUUUUU